CGUAUCUCUCUUCUCACCAUAAAUGUCUUUAUAUUCACAUACUCCUCCCAUUCCUCACACACGCAUUACCCUUUCUUCUCUGCUCUGUCACUUCUCAUUUGCUUUUAAUACCAAUCUCAUGUACUUCAUCCUCCUUCUGAAUAGUCAUAUCCAGUCUUCUCUUAAUUACUGUUUUUUUCUUUUGACUACAGACCAAAGAUUUAUUGUUUUCUACCAUUAAUUCACACUUGAAAACAAGAAAAAAGUUAUCUUUUCUCACAGAAGCAAGAAUUACAUGAGAAAAGCUAAAUGUGGGAUCUUGAAUGAUGUCUAUUUCCAUCCUUUUACAUGUUAGAAGAUUGAAGUGCUUUCAUUUGAUCAAAUACAUAAACAUAGGAGUAUUGAUGGCUGCAAAUGGCUUACUAGGUCCCCUAAUAUUUGAGGCACAUUUUGGGCAAUAUUAAUCAAGUAUGGUGAUCAUGAGACAGACAUUAGCCUGCUGCACAAGAAUCAGAGAGUUUAGCAUUGACUUUGCUGAACAAGAGAGGGGUACCGGCCGUAUAUGAAUUUUACAAGUGGCCCAUCCG